AUUGAACGCUGGCGGCAGGCCUAACACAUGCAAGUCGAGCGGAUGAAGGGAGCUUGCUCCUGGCUUCAGCGGCGGACGGGUGAGUAAUGCCUAGGAAUCUGCCUGGUCGUGGGGGAUAACGUCCGGAAACGGGCGCUAAUACCGCAUACGUCCUGAGGGAGAAAGUGGGGGAUCUUCGGACCUCACGCUAUCAGAUGAGCCUAGGUCGGAUUAGCUAGUUGGUGGGGUAAAGGCCUACCAAGGCGACGAUCCGUAACUGGUCUGAGAGGAUGAUCAGUCACACUGGAACUGAGACACGGUCCAGACUCCUACGGGAGGCAGCAGUGGGGAAUAUUGGACAAUGGGCGAAAGCCUGAUCCAGCCAUGCCGCGUGUGUGAAGAAGGUCUUCGGAUUGUAAAGCACUUUUAGUUGGGAGGAAGGGCAGUAAGUUAAUACCUUGCUGUUUUGACGUUACCAACAGAAUAAGCACCGGCUAACUUCGUG
rnacentral:rRNA from 1 species